CGGCCCACCAAGGCGACGAUGCGUAGGGGUUCUGAGAGGAAGGUCCCCCACACUGGUACUGAGACACGGACCAGACUCCUACGGGAGGCAGCAGUGAGGAAUAUUGGUCAAUGGCCGCAGGGCUGAACCAGCCAAGUCGCGCGAGGGAUGACGGUCCUAUGGAUUGUAAACCUCUUUUGUCAGGGAGCAAAGGACGCCACGUGUGGCGUUUUGCGAGUACCUGAAGAAAAAGCAUCGGCUAACUCCGUGCCAGCAGCCGCGGUAAUACGGAGGAUGCGAGCGUUAUCCGGAUUUAUUGGGUUUAAAGGGUGCGCAGGCGGAAUGUCAAGUCAGCGGUAAAAUUUCGGGGCUCAACCCCGUCGUGCCGUUGAAACUGGCGUUCUUGAGUGAGCGAGAAGUAUGCGGAAUGCGUGGUGUAGCGGUGAAAUGCAUAGAUAUCACGCAGAACUCCGAUUGCGAAGGCAGCAUACCGGCGCUCAACUGACGCUCAUGCACGAAAGCGUGGGUAUCGAACAGGAUUAGAUACCCUGGUAGUCCACGCAGUAAACGAUGAAUACUAACUGUCCGGGCCGAUUGAGGUCUGG
rnacentral:rRNA from 1 species